UGGGGAAUAUUGCACAAUGGGGGAAACCCUGAUGCAGCGACGCCGCGUGAGCGAAGAAGUAUUUCGGUAUGUAAAGCUCUAUCAGCAGGGAAGAAAAUGACGGUACCUGACUAAGAAGCACCGGCUAAAUACGUGCCAGCAGCCGCGGUAAUACGUAUGGUGCAAGCGUUAUCCGGAUUUACUGGGUGUAAAGGGAGCGUAGACGGCUGUGUAAGUCUGAAGUGAAAGCCCGGGGCUCAACCCCGGGACUGCUUUGGAAACUAUGCGGCUAGAGUGUCGGAGAGGUAAGUGGAAUUCCCAGUGUAGCGGUGAAAUGCGUAGAUAUUGGGAGGAACACCAGUGGCGAAGGCGGCUUACUGGACGAUGACUGACGUUGAGGCUCGAAAGCGUGGGGAGCAAACAGG
rnacentral:rRNA from 1 species